rnacentral:rRNA from 1 species
UACAGGGGGUGCAAACGUUGCUCGGAAUUAUUGGGCGUAAAGCGCACGUAGGCGGUUCGUUAAGUCGGAUGUGAAAGCCCUCGGGCUCAACUGAGGAAGUGCACCCGAAACUGGCGAGCUUGAGUACGAAAGAGGAUCGCGGAAUUCCCGGUGUAGAGGUGAAAUUCGUAGAUAUCGGGAGGAACACCGGGUGGCGAAGGCGGGCGAUCUGGGUCGAUACUGACGCUGAGGUGCGAAAGCGUGGGGAGCAAACAGG